AUGAACGCUAGCGGCAGGCUUAACACAUGCAAGUCGAGGGGCAUCGAGAGAGUAGCAAUACUUUUGUCGGCGACCGGCGGACGGGUGCGUAACGCGUAUGCAACCUACCUUAUACAGGGGGGAUAAACCUUUUCGAAAAGGGAGACUAAUACCGCAUAACAUUACUUUGAGGCAUCUUGAGGUAAUUAAAUCUUCGGAGGUAUAAGAUGGGCAUGCGUAGCAUUAGCUAGAUGGUGCGGUAACGGCGUACCAUGGCGACGAUGCUUAGGGGUUCUGAGAGGAAGGUCCCCCACACUGGUACUGAGAUACGGACCAGACUCCUACGGGAGGCAGCAGUGAGGAAUAUUGGUCAAUGGUCGGAAGACUGAACCAGCCAUGCCGCGUGCAGGAAGAAUGUCUUAUGGAUUGUAAACUGCUUUUGUAUGGGAAUAAUAAUAGCUUUGCGAAGUUAGAUGCAUGUACCAUACGAAUAAGGAUCGGCUAACUCCGUG
rnacentral:rRNA from 1 species